AUACGUAGGUGACAAGCGUUAUCCGGAUUUACUGGGCGUAAAGGGCGUGUAGGCGGUCUUGCAAGUCAGAAGUGAAAUUCCUGAGCUCAACUCGGGCGCUGCUUCUGAAACUGCAGGACUUGAGUGCUGGAGGGGAUAGCGGAAUUCCUAGUGGAGCGGUAAAAUGCGCAGAUAUUAGGAAGAACACCGGUGGCGAAGGCGGCUAGCUGGACAGGAACUGACGCUGAGGCGCGAAAGCGUGGGGAGCAAACAGGAUUAGAUACCCUGGUAGUCCACGCAGUAAACGAUGAUUGCUAACCGCUGGUUUAUUCGGAUCAGUGGCCAAGCGAAAGCGAUAAGCCAUCCACCUGGGGAGUACGACCGCAAGGUUGAAACUCAAAUGAAUUGGCGGGG
rnacentral:rRNA from 1 species